rnacentral:piRNA from 1 species
UAAAGUAUUUGGGAACUUGGC